UACGUAGGCAGCAAGCGUUGUUCGGAGUUACUGGGCGUAAAGAGUGCGUAGGUGGUGCCCUAAGUCUGUUGUGAAAUCUCCCGGCUUAACUGGGAGGGUGCGGUGGAAACUGGGGUGCUUGAGUGUGGGAGAGGUAAGCGGAAUUCCUGGUGUAGCGGUGAAAUGCGUAGAUAUCAGGAGGAACACCGGUGGUGUAAACGGCUCUCUGGACCGUAACUGACGCUGAGACACGAAAGCGUGGGUAGCAAACAGG
rnacentral:rRNA from 1 species